GACGAACCGAGCGAACGUUGUUCGGAAUCACUGGGCUUAAAGGGCGCGUAGGCGGAUUUGCAAGUCCGUGGUGAAAUCCCACAGCUCAACUGUGGAACUGCCUCGGAUACUGUGAGUCUCGAGGGUGGUAGGGGUAUGCGGAACUAUCGGUGGAGCGGUGAAAUGCGUUGAUAUCGAUAGGAACUCCGGUGGCGAAGGCGGCAUACUGGACCACAUCUGAUGCUGAGGCGCGAAAGCCAGGGGAGCAAACGGG
rnacentral:rRNA from 1 species